rnacentral:lncRNA from 1 species
UUAUUAAGAUAUUUGAAUAUUUGAUGACAAUAAAACUGUUAGAAAACUGGUUAUUUGUCUGUGUUUUUCAGGUACGUCUCAGAUAAACUGCUUAAGUGGAAGUAAUGUUGAAAUCGGUACUGUUGAAGAGGAAUACAGCGUCAGGUAUUAAGGAGCAGUAAAGACACUCUGCUGAAGUACAGCAGUGUUAUAAAAGAGAUGUGGAGAUUGUCACUAAUAUCCAGCCGUCUGACGUGCUGGUUCUGGAACCGUACGCUUUUCCUAUUGGGCUGACGUUUGUGGAGCUCGUCCAUUCACCUGGAGCUCCGACCGCAACCAUCAGAACCACCAAACCUCUGGAUGCUGACCAGAUGAAGGAGGUGGGCACUGUGUAGAGUCAUUUUCCCAUAAAAUUAAAUACUGUAAUUCAUUUUCUCCAUUAAUACAUCUU